UUCGACACACUAUCAUUAACUGAAUCCAUAGGUUAAUGAGGCGAACCGGGGGAACUGAAACAUCUAAGUACCCCGAGGAAAAGAAAUCAACCGAGAUUCCCCCAGUAGCGGCGAGCGAACGGGGAGGAGCCCAGAGCCUGAAUCAGCAUAUGUGUUAGUGGAAGCGUCUGGAAAGGCGCGCGAUACAGGGUGACAGCCCCGUACACAAAAGCGCAUGUGCUGUGAGCUCGAUGAGUAGGGCGGGACACGUGGUAUCCUGUCUGAAUAUGGGGGGACCAUCCUCCAAGGCUAAAUACUCCUGACUGACCGAUAGUGAACCAGUACCGUGAGGGAAAGGCGAAAAGAACCCCGGCGAGGGGAGUGAAAAAGAACCUGAAACCGUGUACGUACAAGCAGUGGGAGCACCCUUUGGGGUGUGACUGCGUACCUUUUGUAUAAUGGGUCAGCGACUUAUAUUCUGUAGCAAGGUUAACCGAAUAGGGGAGCCGGAGGGAAACCGAGUCUUAAUUGGGCGUUAAGUUGCAGGGUAUAGACCCGAAACCCGGUGAUCUAGCCAUGGGCAGGUUGAAGGUUGGGUAACACUAACUGGAGGACCGAACCGACUAAUGUUGAAAAAUUAGCGGAUGACCUGUGGCUGGGGGUGAAAGGCCAAUCAAACCGGGAGAUAGCUGGUUCUCCCCGAAAGCUAUUUAGGUAGCGCCUCGUGAAUUCAUCUCCGGGGGUAGAGCACUGUUUCGGCUAGGGGGCCAUCCCGGCUUACCAACCCGAUGCAAACUGCGAAUACCGGAGAAUGUUAUCACGGGAGACACACGGCGGGUGCUAACGUCCGUCGUGAAGAGGGAAACAACCCAGACCGCCAGCUAAGGUCCCAAAGUCAUGGUUAAGUGGGAAACGAUGUGGGAAGGCCCAGACAGCCAGGAUGUUGGCUUAGAAGCAGCCAUCAUUUAAAGAAAGCGUAAUAGCUCACUGGUCGAGUCGGCCUGCGCGGAAGAUGUAACGGGGCUAAACCAUGCACCGAAGCUGCGGCAGCGACACUCAGGUGUUGUUGGGUAGGGGAGCGUUCUGUAAGCCUGCGAAGGUGGCCUGUGAGGGUUGCUGGAGGUAUCAGAAGUGCGAAUGCUGACAUAAGUAACGAUAAAGCGGGUGAAAAGCCCGCUCGCCGGAAGACCAAGGGUUCCUGUCCAACGUUAAUCGGGGCAGGGUGAGUCGACCCCUAAGGCGAGGCCGAAAGGCGUAGUCGAUGGGAAACGGGUUAAUAUUCCCGUACUUGGUGUUACUGCGAAGGGGGGACGGAGAAGGCUAUGUUGGCCGGGCGACGGUUGUCCCGGUUUAAGCGUGUAGGUGUGUGUUCCAGGUAAAUCCGGUUCACUUUAACACUGAGGCGUGACGACGAGGCACUACGGUGCUGAAGCAACAAAUGCCCUGCUUCCAGGAAAAGCCUCUAAGCAUCAGGUAACAUCAAAUCGUACCCCAAACCGACACAGGUGGUCAGGUAGAGAAUACCAAGGCGCUUGAGAGAACUCGGGUGAAGGAACUAGGCAAAAUGGUGCCGUAACUUCGGGAGAAGGCACGCUGACAUGUAGGUGAAGUGAUUUACUCAUGGAGCUGAAGUCAGUCGAAGAUACCAGCUGGCUGCAACUGUUUAUUAAAAACACAGCACUGUGCAAACACGAAAGUGGACGUAUACGGUGUGACGCCUGCCCGGUGCCGGAAGGUUAAUUGAUGGGGUCAGCGCAAGCGAAGCUCCUGAUCGAAGCCCCGGUAAACGGCGGCCGUAACUAUAACGGUCCUAAGGUAGCGAAAUUCCUUGUCGGGUAAGUUCCGACCUGCACGAAUGGCGUAAUGAUGGCCAGGCUGUCUCCACCCGAGACUCAGUGAAAUUGAACUCGCUGUGAAGAUGCAGUGUACCCGCGGCAAGACGGAAAGACCCCGUGAACCUUUACUAUAGCUUGACACUGAACAUUGAGCCUUGAUGUGUAGGAUAGGUGGGAGGCUUUGAAGUGUGGACGCCAGUCUGCAUGGAGCCGACCUUGAAAUACCACCCUUUAAUGUUUGAUGUUCUAACGUGGACCCGUGAUCCGGGUUGCGGACAGUGUCUGGUGGGUAGUUUGACUGGGGCGGUCUCCUCCUAAAGAGUAACGGAGGAGCACGAAGGUUGGCUAAUCCUGGUCGGACAUCAGGAGGUUAGUGCAAUGGCAUAAGCCAGCUUGACUGCGAGCGUGACGGCGCGAGCAGGUGCGAAAGCAGGUCAUAGUGAUCCGGUGGUUCUGAAUGGAAGGGCCAUCGCUCAACGGAUAAAAGGUACUCCGGGGAUAACAGGCUGAUACCGCCCAAGAGUUCAUAUCGACGGCGGUGUUUGGCACCUCGAUGUCGGCUCAUCACAUCCUGGGGCUGAAGUAGGUCCCAAGGGUAUGGCUGUUCGCCAUUUAAAGUGGUACGCGAGCUGGGUUUAGAACGUCGUGAGACAGUUCGGUCCCUAUCUGCCGUGGGCGCUGGAGAACUGAGGGGGGCUGCUCCUAGUACGAGAGGACCGGAGUGGACGCAUCACUGGUGUUCGGGUUGUCAUGCCAAUGGCACUGCCCGGUAGCUAAAUGCGGAAGAGAUAAGUGCUGAAAGCAUCUAAGCACGAAACUUGCCCCGA
rnacentral:rRNA from 1 species